rnacentral:misc_RNA from 1 species
GAAAUAUUGAAAUUUUGCAUUGAUGAACAAAGCAUUACAAAAUCCCAAGCUCAAUACACAUAACUUGGUACUACAACUCUCAAUAAACAUAGAGCAAAGCCUAAAAAUAUAGAGUCAUAGGACUAAUUUAUUUAACUUGAAAUCUUCUCCAACAGCAGCCAACCCAGAUGACCUCACCAGAGGACGCCUUUUAUUAGCAAAGACCAAUCAGCUAGUAACAACAACCACCGAAGAAGAUUUGUAAACUCAGGACAAGAGAAACAUCAAGGGGAUGCCUAACUGUAUUUAAACCUUUUCAACUAGAUCUCAUGAUCCCCCAAUCAAGGGAAACAAGUCCAAUUAUAAAAGGUGAGAGAAGUAGCAACACAACAGAGGAACCAAAUGGCUAGACCAAGGCUAGCUAAAACCGAGAAAUGGCAUGUGAAAUACACAGGCAUCUCAAUCUCCUUUAGCCCUGACAGUCUAUACCCAAACAUACUCAUUUACGCUGCCUUGUACACUAGCCAAUACGGACACUCCCUUUUGUCAAGAACAGAAACCUUGGCACACCGAUCUGCACCAUAACCCUCACAAUGAAGCAUAACCACCAUAGACCAUUAGUGAGCCAAACACCCAUCAAAACUAUACAUGACCUUACCAAAGAGGACAAGGGAGAUCCAUCCUUCAAUAGGUGAACUGAGAAGAGCUGAAACAGAGAGGAGCCGCCCCCCUGCCCAAAGGACAGUGAACGGCCGCAUUGCAUGAAAAACCAUGACUGAGAAACCCGAGAACUCUAGAAGAGAGAAGAAAUUCUCACAAACAGGGAGACGAGCUCCCUAACUGACAAGUUAUUAAU